CUCCAGCUCUCUGAGCAUCUUUGUGGUCCCCUGAUGCACCUUCUCCAAUAGAUCCAUGUCCCUCCUUCUGGAGGACUCCAGAGCUGGCUGCAGAUUCAUUGUUAUAAAAAGUUUUUUACAGGCAUUAUAGUCUGAAGCAGAUAAAAUAGGUCCAUGAGAUGUGGCUAGUGAUUCAAUAGAAAUCUUCAGUCUGCAAGUUCCUAAUACAACUUCCUAGUAGAAGUUGCAGUUCAGGUGAAGAUUUUUUGCUAUGUUUAUAGGUGUUCAAAAAAAAUCUAAAUUUGGUUUCCCUGGUUUGUGUGUAGUUUUAUACAUGAAAACAGCUUAGCCAACUCUUAGAGCUAAAUGAAACAAAUUAGCAAUAGAACAGUGGAAUGAGAUGAAUAAUCCAUGUUCAAUAAAGGAUUUUAAGGUAUGAAGGUUAUUUCAUUAGAGCGUAGAUUAUGCUAAUUCCUUAUAGCCUAAAAACCAAUAAACUGCUAAUUGUAGGAAUAACUUGCUUUGUGCUGUUCAGUUCUCCGUGUCAUUGAAGGUACUGGUUAAAAUGGCAUACCUUCAACAUAAAUAUAAAAUGGGCAUAAACUGGAGAACUGUAGGAUUAUCAUCUCAGUAAGCAGUUUUUUGCAUAUUUAAGAGGUAGUUGCAAUUAUGGCAACAGCAUGGGACCAAUGCAGAGAAUGCCAGGUAGUGCAGGAAACAGAACUGAGAAGGUACAGGAGACACACGAGAUAAAGACCAGCUGCCCAUGUUAACGUGAAGUGAAAAUGCAUUGCUGCCAAUUCACACAGUCUCCUGUAAAACCAGCUGGCUUCAAAAUAAUCUGGAAUAAGAUAUCUGAUGAAUUGUAAUUUUUAAGUGUCCAGGUUAGCCUGUUGAAAAACAGCAAUUCAGAUGAAGCCUUAGGAAGAGCAGUUUGGAGUGCAGACACGAGCUUUUGCAGGCGUAUAGAAUGCUUCAUAAAUUGGUGUUUAUGGUUGUUUAACCAGUGCCCAUAAAUGGCGAUUUAACUGUUCUGUGUUAAUACUGCAGUAACUUUGGGCUCCUGACAUUUAGAAGUGAGCACUCAGUCUUCUGCAGGGGUAGUUCAAAGUUGUCAGCUGGUUUGAACUGCAGCGAGGUGACACAUGGUUUGUUUAACGUGAAUCAGUUGUGGGGGAAAGAGUUUAGUAGAUUCCAGAUGAGCAGCAGUAACUGCUGUAACUAUUUCUAGAGCAGCAAUCGGUCUGUCUCGGUUAGGUUAGUAGUGACAAGUGUAAUCUUCACAGUUGAAAGUGCCAGAAAUGAAAUGGUGAAUUUGGGAGGACACCUCUGCAUAAAUUAAUACUUGAGAAUUUUUUUAAGCAUGUCUGGUAAACAUCCCGGUUUGCCCAAAGUAGUGGUUUUUGUCUGUCUGUUGGAAAUGGCUGUGAGAAUUCAGUCUCUUUUUCAAACAGUGAUGGUUUUUAGGUUGUCAUGGGAGGAAGCUUCACCAGGAGACAUACAAUGUUGAUCAGAACAUGUUGUUUUUCAACAGCUUUGAUCUGAUCUUUGAUCUGGGCUUGUACUUGAUUGACUCUGGGAGAGCAGGCUGCUCUCUCUACAUGACUGUUGUUGAGAUUCGUUCCCCUUCAGGAGCUUCAAGCAGAAGUACUCGAGCUCUGUACUUAGGAAUGCUGGGCUUUGCAAAUCAGCUAGGUAAUUGUGGCUUUUGCCUCAGCUUUAUUCGUUUUCAUAUUAACUAUAUAUUGUUCCAUCGCAGACUUAACGUGUCCAGAGUGUGAUCAGUUGCUGAGAAGAUGGUGAUGCUACUUUGUCCCCAUGGGAGGAAUGUUAGCUGGAGAGCCGGGUGGCUGGUGUUGCUCCAGCUGCUUUGGUGUACUAGAGUUGUGGGGACAGAAUUUGGAAAUGCCUUUACGUUUAUCUGGGAUGGGAAUUCUGACUCAAGUUUACUCACUCAGAUGUGAUGUCACGAUUCGUUAGAGGGAAUGCACAAAUUAAGCUGUUUCCUGUGUUCCUGAAGAGCUGCCUAACUGGUGAUGUUCUUGGCUCAGAAAACAUGGAUAGGCACGGAAUGUGAUAGUUCCAUCUAUGCUGAGGAAAAGAGAAGCCUAUGCUUGUUUCUAAAUCAAGCCUAUUUUUUUUCCCCCCUCUGGCCAGGUAAACCACAGCACAUCUUAUCUGACAGUAUUUGAUGCAAGUCUGAAAAGAUAUGACAUGCAUAUAGUCACGAGUACUGUUGUCUUUUUCUGUUUUUAUUUUUUUAAAGGGAAUUUUCUGGAACACACCUUUUUACUGAGGAUGCAGCUCAGAUCCUCUUGGCAUCUAAGUGGGGAACUGCCUUUUGCAACCUCAUGUACAGGGCUUUGUGUGAGUCCUUUCCUCCUGACAAAUUUGUGAAGGUAAAGAGCAAGGAUGUAUGAUAGCUCUGGCAAAGACCGAUGUUCAGUGUCAAGAUACUAGUUUUUUGGUGAAGGAUGCCCUUGCUCAAACAAGGUUUACAGAUUCUUUGCCAUGGUAUUAAUCCUGCUCUGACAGUGAAUGCAGAAAAGUUAGUUCACAGAUACCUUAGAAACUGCAGGAUCUACUCAAUGUAACCAUUAUUUUAUUCUUUUUUCUUAUUGCAAGGUUUGGGAUGUUCUGAUUGGAGUAGGAGGUCCAGAUCUCUUCAUAAGGUACUAGAUUUUGUCUCUGUACUUGAAAGAGCAUUGAGGAGACUAUCACCGUUAGUGACUGUAGGAGUUCUCAGGUAACAAACUUAGUGGAGAACAAGACAACUUCUGGAACGUGGCACUGAUGUAUCCUUUCAUAGAAUGGAUUAGUGCUGGCUGGAGAAUUGAAUUUAGUAUUUGGGACUGUGUGUUGUUCAAUCUCUUAAAGUCCCUUAAAGUCUUGCACCUCCCAAGUGUAUCUGUCUAUUCUAAUUGACAUGUGCCUUGACAAACUUAGUACAAAUUUUACUUUUUUUGAUUUGUGUGUUUUGCUCAGCUUUUGUAUGUUCUUCCUGUCUUCAGUUUUUCUCCUUACAGUGAAGCCCAGUGAAGUUUUCAUUCCUUAAAGCUUCAGGAGACUUCUGUUAGAACCCACAGUACUAACCCCUGAGAGGUUUGGGAUUUUUAUUUUUAUUUUUUGAAAGGUAUAUAGAAAUACAUUAGCCAGUACAAUUAAAAUAGGCGCAAGCCAGAUGCGUGGUGUUUGGCAGAGGCUUUCUUGCUUCAGCGAUGCUAUAAUGAAUAGAAAACCUUACCACAUAAGCUUUUAAAGGCAGCAUGCCAUUAGCAUGUAUUAAGCCACUGUGUGAUUCUGCAAGAGAAUGAACGUGGCUUUGCAUAAGCUUAUUUUGCAAACUAUUAUGGUAUUUUUUUAAUGUAGUAGUAAUGCUAUAGCAAGCUGCCAAAGGACAAGUGCAGGUAGCAAGUCUAACCAGCGUAAGAGGUAGAACUUUGUUGUGUAAAUUAAUUGUGACCCCUUGUUUCUAUUGCUGAUGUACUAACUGCUCCUUGUUUUUUUACAGUUUGAGUUGUGUUUCAUGAGGGUAUCUCUAAGUCUUGUUUACAUAACAAUUUAUGUUUCCUGAGAAUCCAUUCCAAAUUCAUUGAAAGCUGCACUUCAAGGUAUCAUCAUAGAAUCACAGGCAAUUGAAUUGGAGCAGAGGUAGGUAGGUGGCUGUUACUAAAUUUAGCUAGGCUUUUUUCCACUCCUACUUCAAAUGUGCUGCACUUCACACUCAGAAUUACUGUCUCAGUGCAAAGGAUGUGAAUUCUCAUAGCCUUAAUUUUUUACUUACAAUGUGGGAGAGAAGUAAAAGUGCAUUAUGUUUGGAUUAGCCAUAAAUUAUAUGAGAAGACUCAAGUUUUAAGAAAAUGCAGGUAACCCUGAAGCAUGUAAUAUUAUUUCCAAUACUGAUAAAACUGAUGUAGAAAAAUAUUCCAACAUCUCAGAAUAAAACCAUGAAAAGACAGGCUUGUGGAAAGCCAUUGACCAGUUACCUUGGAAUUUUCAGAUGUAAAACUUUUUCCUUGGAACAGCUGUUUUUUAACAUGGCUGAUCCAGCAUCUUAGCGGCCUCGUGCAUUAUGCUGUGUUUUACGGAGAAUGGAGGAAGGGGAAAAAAGGAAUUGGGGAAAAAAAAAAAGGAAUAUGAAAAGAGAAGUUGUCAUUUGUUGACUAACUGAAGCUAGAACAUCUCUGGUUCUCAGGGCAGGAGACCCAAUAUAGAAAUAGGUUGGAGUUGACCAUUCAGCUCUCCUAACCUUUUUUUCCUUCCCACAGCUGCCCUGCAAUGUUUGUCUCCACCCUUUUGGGACCUGAACUUCUUUUUGCCCAUUUCUUGCACAUACACCUACCCUGCUAGGUAGGGCUGAUUUUUGCUGCCUUCCCCUGAUCUGGUGGGGAAUCUCUUUUAUGUAACUUAGCUAGGCAGUGCCCAGGGACUCCGAGUACUUCUUUAUGAACCAGUGUUUUCUGCAAUUGCUAGGGCAAGUAAUGCCUCUUAAGGUGCAAAGCAUGAAAAAGACGGAAGGAGUAAUUUAGAAAAUAGUCUUUUUACCCUAUUAAUUGCUGCAAUGGCUCUAGUUGGGAAGAGGGCUUGUAAAAAUAAUGAAAAACUGGGUUUAGGAACUUAAGGUUUUUUUAGGUUAGAUAGGUAUAGGUGAAACAGCUGCUGUGUGUCAGGAAUCUAGAGUGCAGAUAUGUGGGGACGAAGAGUGAAGGGGAAGAGCUCAAUGUUGUUAGUGUUCCAUAAUUUUAAAGAGAAGUGCCCGUGUAGCAUAUGCUGACACAUCCAUACAUCAUGAAUAAUUUAGGGUGUGGACAGUGGAGAGGGCAGCCCAGCUGUACCUUCUGAGCCAGCUGCAGCCAACUGAUAAGCUCUUCUAGAAGAGUUGCACUAGGAGGAAGUAGCAGUAAUCAUAGUUUGUGGUUACAAGAUUAUGGGUCAUUGCCGGGAAGCUGGAAGGAUAAACAGCGGAUCAGCAUCCUCGGUAUUAAGGGAACACAACAAAACACAAGAGGUCUUGAAACAUCUCCAAGUUCAAAUUGCCGCCAAGAUGUUCCCUGAACAAUGAGUGACUCUUUCUAGUCAUGCAAUGGCUUUCUCGUGUCAGCGUUCAGCUGCCCACUGUUCACUGUCAGAGCAGGAGAUGGCAGAAGGAAGCUUAGUUGUACCCUUCUGUCCUCCCAAGUAAACCCACAUGGCUGUGACCAGGUGUGGAGGACUCCAAAGUGAAUAUUGAGGAAAAACUGCUAUUUGUCAAUUUUUGAACCACUUCGUUAGACUAAGUUAUGUACGUUCUUAUUUUUAAAUAGUUUUAAGUAUCUUUUUGGUGUGAUUGAAAUCCCUCAGGGAAUUUAGGCCUUCAAAACUGUAUUUGUCGAUAUGGCCACUGCUGAUAAACUGUAUUCAAAAAAUGCUGAGAAAAUUAACAUAAUGGAACUUUGUUGACAGAUGAGUUUCCAAGAUGAUUUUGCAUCUUAAGUCUUGUAAGUGCUGGAUAACCUUUUGGAGUCAUGACAGCUUCCUGUGGUGAAGAAGCCUUUUUAACUGAGAGCCAUACCUUUGGAAAUGAUUGUUUGCUGAAUGCUGUUUAUUUUGCUAGUAUGUAAAAAAUGCCAAAAACUCAGAUGGCUGUUCACUUCUUAACUCACUAAUAAUUAAAAGAUUAAAUACCUUCAGAA